UCGGGUAUGGUGUAACGGCUAACAUUGCCGCCUCUCAGGAGCGCGCGGCAGCUCGGGGUUCGAUUCCCCGUACCCGAA
rnacentral:tRNA from 1 species